rfam:Xylella fastidiosa Temecula1, complete genome.
CACCUGCCGCAGCAUUUGCGGCUACAGGCGCAAAGGUCGGGAUUGGAAUAGGGGCUGGCCACGCGUGCGGUGGGGAAGCAAGGGGCUGGCAGGUCAGAGGGCUGCCAGCCUUUGAUGU